UACGAAGGGGGCUAGCGUUGCUCGGAAUCACUGGGCGUAAAGCGCACGUAGGCGGCUUUCUAAGUCAGGGGUGAAAUCCUGGAGCUCAACUCCAGAACUGCCUUUGAUACUGGAAAGCUUGAGUUCGGGAGAGGUGAGUGGAACUGCGAGUGUAGAGGUGAAAUUCGUAGAUAUUCGCAAGAACACCAGUGGCGAAGGCGGCUCACUGGCUCGGUACUGACGCUGAGGUGCGAAAGCGUGGGGAGCAAACAGG
rnacentral:rRNA from 1 species